CUUUUUAAAAUCUUCAGCAAGAUAGAAGCUUGUUUUUAAAAUAACGUUCGGUACCAACUCAAGGGAAAAAAUGGACGUCGCUAGUUCAGUUUUAGUGCUCUUGUUCAUUGUCAGCCUCUCGGACGGUAAUGUCAACUACAACGUAUCCUUAGAGGUCAAGAUUGAUGGCUUUGAAAAAGAAUGUGACGCUCCAGGUUGCCGUUACACUGGAAAGAUUGUUGGAAGUGUCAAGUCCUCUGGUUUCGAUUAUCCGAUCCCACAAGUUUGCUUUUACGUUUGGAUUUUUACGUAUGCCGCCGGAAAACCUUUUUGGGACUUUAUAUGCCAUGUGACUCUCUACCCGUGCGAAAGAUGUCUAUUUCGUUGGACAGCUUGCAAACUGCUCAGGAUAUAAUCCACUCAAAAUUGAAUUCUAUCCGUAUCGAGGGAGCCUAUUCAAGCUGGCAGUCAUAGGCUCUAGGCAAAAACCUGUUGGAUUUUAUCCCUAUCUCAAACCGUCUGGUAUUGAUUACUGGAUAUGGAGCAAUGAAUUUGAUGCUUCAAUCAAACCAGAUGACUGGGAUCCGAUUUACGUUCAUGGUCCAGAUAAUAUACAAGUUGGAAUGGAAUACUCAUACUCGACAAACGGAAACAAUCGCCUUAACGCAGGAACUAAAAUCGUUGGCAUGGCAACUAUGUUUGCUUUCCUCCUAACCAAGAUCAUUUUUAAUGAAUAACGAUUUGAAUAACAUAAAGGAUAAAGGAACUAGCUUGGCUAUGUUGUGAAACAAAAUGUGGAGCUACACAUCACGGCCAUAUUUAUGCUACAUAUUGUUUUUGAUACCUA